AUCUAAAGAAUUUAUGUACAAAAUUAUUUUUUCCUAGGCUUUCUAAUUUUUGAAAUCUGUAUGUAGUAUAUCUAUCUCUACGAGACCCGUUAAAUUGACGGCUUAGCUGAUUUCAUAAACAAUCCAUUUAUCAAAGACAGUGAGCAAAAGUUUCAGUUAUUGUAGACAUUUCCCAUUAUUGUCUCCAUUUAUUCAAUCAUGAGUAAAUCCAAGAGAUAUAAUAAGAUAUUGAACAAAAUUGUCAACAUCAAUGAAGAUUGUUCUGACAGUGAAAGCUCUGAAUACCUUGAAAGUGGAGAGAUAGAAGGAUCUUCGGAUAGUGAAAAGGAACACUUCUUGAAAGUGUGUCGUAACAAGAAAAGCAUGCAUAUUCUUUUUAGUUCUGAUUCCGAGGAUGGAAGGACGAGCAUUCCAAGCAUAUCCCAAAAUGUAAUAAGUGAAAUUGAAAUUGCAAUUGACGUGACACAGUGCAUAAAACUGAAAGCAGGCGGAUCUAGGGGUAUAAAUAUAUACGCGAAAUAUUAUGUCGGUUUAUGUAACUAGUACUUUCGAAUUGAUAAUUGACAGAUACAUAAUGGAACACAUAAACGAUUGCACUGAAAUGCGAGUUCAUUCGCAUCGAGUUUUGAAAAAAGACUGGACAAUCACAGUUGCUGAGUUGCGUAGUUUUCUAGGAAUUCUAUAUACCCGAGGCGCAUAUGAAGCGAGGUCAUUGAAAGCCUCCGAAAGAUUACAAAUAGAUAAAUUUGCGCUGAUAUCCGAAAUAUGGAACAGAUUUAUAAGUAUUAGCCAGGCUUGUUACAAGCCAUAUGAAAAUAUCUCAAUAGAUGAACAAUUAUUUCCAACGAAAGCUCGAUGCAGGUUUACGCAGUAUAUACCAAAUAAGCCUCAUAAAUUUGGCAUUAAGUUUUGGUUAGCAGUUGACAUCCAAACAAAAUAUAUUUUGAAUGGUUUCCCUUAUAUGGGCAAAGAUGAAACUUGAUGCUCAAGAGAAAAAAGGACAGGAUGAUAUUGUUUUCCUCAAAUUUAUAUAAAUCAGAAAACUGCACACUUACUGUGUAUAAAAGUAAACCUAAAGUAAAAGUCCUCCUUCUAAGCACCAAACAUACAGGUGUACAAAUAGAAGAUAAUUAUAAACGUGUUCCAGAAACAUUGCUUUUUACAAUAAAACAAAGUAUGGUGUUGACCAAAUGGCAUGCAAAUAUAGUGUGAAAGCAAAGAGGGUUCCGAUGACCCCUUCAAGUCUUUUUCAAUAUUUUGGAUUUGGCAGUGAUAAACGCGUGGAUACUAUAUAAAGAAUGUACCAGAUCGAAAAUAUCCAGAAAGGAAUUCAUUUUUUGUUUAGCCGAGGAAUUAGCUGGAGAAAACAAAGAGAACAUUUGCCAAAGAUCAGACACUUCAUUUCUGUCAGCUUCAACGUCAGAAGUGUGAAAAGGUUACCAAGUGGGUUAUUGCAAAAAAAAAUAGAAGUAAUAAUUAUUGUAUACAUCGCAAAAAGAUCGUAUGCAGAAAAUGCACAAACAACAUUCAGUAUAUUUGCAAAAAAUGUGCUCAAUAGAUAUGAUUACCCCGUACCGUUAAUGUUAUUGUUAUUUUUUUAGUGAUAAUUUAAAAAAAAUGUUUCAUUUAUUAAUAAUUUAUUUAAACGUGAAGCCUAAUAUUGUUCCU